UUGUUUUUUUUUUUCAUAUGUUUUAGGUCAUGCCGUCUCCCACCACGGGGAGUUUUUCAAUGCUUCAACCUCCAAUGCUCACUUCCAUUACAAAAGACGAAGCAAACAUGGAUAUUUCUACUUCCUCUGAUUUUAAUUCUAAUUCUCUAAAUCAGGUACCUUAUAUAUAUAUUUGAAUUGUAUUUCUUGUUACUUAAAAUCGUGAUACUGUAAAACUAUUUACAUUAAUAUACAUAUCAUAUUUUUUUCAUAUAUAAAUGUAUUAUGUUAAGAGUCAUAUUUUUUUACUAAGUCUUAACUUUCUUAAGAAUAUAUUUCUAUUAUUUUGAACUCGCCAGGGUUGUAAUAAUUAUCACAUGAUGAAUGGAGAGUAUAAAGAAGACCAAAUAUUUGUCCAAGAUCAACUACCAAUAGAUUUUCCAUUCUCAGAAGAUUUUUCAAAUAACUUCUUUAAAAAUAAUGGAUUCCUUUUUCACAAUGAUUUGAAACUGGAAGAUUUGAUGAUUGAUAAUAUUGAUGUACCCAUCUCUCAUUCCGAAGAAGUUAGUGAUGAAAGUAAUCUUCUUGAAAAUUCGAUCCCGGUCGCGGAUGAUAUUGGACGACAACAUGUUUUAGAAGUAGAACAAAAAGAAACAGGUUAUGCAACCGGAACAAAGAACACUGACGAUGGUUAUAACUGGAGAAAAUAUGGACAAAAACAAGUAAAAGGAAGUGAGUUUCCAAGAAGCUACUAUAAAUGUACUCAAUCGACUUGUGAGGUCAAGAAAAAAGUUGAAAGAUCGCAUGAUGGCCAGAUAACUGAGAUUAUUUACAAGGGUAAUCACAACCAUGAGAGACCACAUUCGAAUCGUCGAGGAUCAAUAAUACCUUUGAAUGAUGAGAUUUCAGAAACUGCUGAAGCCAAUGAUAAAGUUAACUCGCGAGAAAAAGAUGUGAACCAUAGUUCCAAGAUGAAGCUUGAAGAUCAAGGAAGGACAUCCCCGCCUUCUUUUACGACCGAGCAUUCAAAUCCUGCGAAGAGAGGUAGAUCAUUAGGUGUGUUUGAAUCAGAUGAAGCCCAAGAGAAUUCUUCUGCACUUGUUAAUCAUGAUGGUAACAAAGAUGGAUCCACUCAAAUGGUUUUACCGAAUGAAGAUAGUGCGGAAGAUGGUGAAUCGGAAUUGAAAAGAAGGUAUUGUACUUUAUUUGAUAGUGUCUUUAUUUUGGCAUUAUAAGUAAAAAUAAAUCUUAUGUUUGUUGCUUUAAUUUUAUUUUGUAGGAAAAAGGAAAGCUAUCCGGCUGAACACCUGCUGCCUGCGAGAGCUAUUCGUGAGCCGCGAGUGGUAGUCCAAAUCGAGAGUGAAAUCGACAUACUUGAUGAUGGUUAUCGUUGGCGAAAGUACGGGCAAAAGGUUGUCAAAGGGAAUCCAAACCCGAGGUAAUGAUAUUUCUUUUCCUUAUUCACUUGUAGGCCUAUUUAGUAGAAAAUAUUGUCGAUGUAGCAAAAUUCGAACAAAUCACCAUUGUUUCCGAUAUGUUACUUGUUACAAAAAGUUGCCAAAUAGCGGCUUUAAUCGUGUUAUAGCACACUGUUGUGUUGCAGAAUUUGAACAAAUCUGUAUGAUGUUAUAAGUUAGUAUUAUGUAUGUAAAAUUCUCUCAUCCAUCUCUUGUAGGAGCUACUACAAAUGCACAAGUGCUGGAUGUAAUGUAAGGAAACAUGUGGAAAGAGCUUCACACAAUCUAAAAUUUGUGAUUACUACUUAUGAGGGAAAACAUAACCAUGAGGUUCCAACUGCUAAGAAUAACAAUCACAUAAACUCAAACGAUUUUGGUUCACAUUCAAGUGGUGCUAAUGGGUUACAUGGGAGUGCUGGUAUCCUAAAGUCGGAAACUCAUCAGCCUAUUGCAUCUCAUUUUGAUAGAAAACCCGAUUUUAGCGAUGAGUUUGUGCGGUCAAGUUUGAUGGGAAGUUUCGCUAAUGAUAUGAAGUUUGGACCUUCCUCCAUGGCCCAAAUGCCGUAUUCUUCCUUGGAUAAUAUUGUACCAUAUGGAUGCUCCUAUGGAACGAAUCUCGAAUGUGGUGUUGCGCCUCAAGUCGGACAUAUGCCCCCGAUUUUCCCAGAAUUUCCAAUGCCGUUGCCAUUGAAUCUUCCUUCAUCUGGAAAUUUUUCUCUAGAUGGAAUUAAUCUCAACUAUGGAAAACCAAUGAAUUAUGUUCAGUCUUACCUUUCAAAUCAACAGAUGAGGGACUUUGAUACAGGACUCCUAAGGCCUAAAGAGGAGUUGAAUGAUGAUGCUUUGUAUACUUCAUGUCCAUCUUCUUUUGAUCAUGCAAGUUCCUCACUGAAUCCACCAUCAACAUCACCACCACAGUCCAUUUAUCAAAGUCUCAUGCAUAACUUCCCUUCAUAAUAUGUUUUUUACAAUAGUUAGAAAAAACAUGUUUUAUUGAUUUUUUUUCUUGUAGUUUUGGAAGAUCUAUUGUCUUAUCAUUGUUAUUUCAAUUUUUCAAAUACUUGUUGUAACAAAAUUUAGUGUUAUUAUACAAAUUUCAUAACAACAUUGUGUAUCUAGUUCUUGGUAUGUAACUUUAUUUUGUCCUAUCAUUUUUGUUGUUUCACAGUUUUUGUGUAUUUUUUUAAACAAUCAAACAUAGUAUGGUAUUCUUUUCAUACCAAUGUUUGUUAUUAAUAGGUGGUUUCACUACUUACAUUUUGAUUUCAGCGCCUAGUCAAAGGCAUUGCCAAGUUUCUCACAUGACACUUUCAACGUUUUUACUUCCUCGUCUUUUGUUUUUUUGCAUUUCCUUUGGCUCGCCCAAAGAUCGUUGUGCUUCAUCAUGCCCUUUAGUGGUAAACUUCAACGACAUCUUGGUCUGAAUGAACGUCUAUUUCAUGGUGUUCAGCCUAGUCUUAAAAUCUCUCCAACAUUGAAAUUUGAUUGGCUAUAAGCAUUGAACAUCACUCGUUCCAGCUUAAGAAUCUUUAGAAGACGAACCUAUAUCAAGUUGGACAUCUGCCCAACCCUUAACUGGGUCUCUAUUUUGUGAUCAUUAAGGAAGUUUGUGGGGAAGUCAAUGUGAUCCCACGAAAUUCUCUUACAUGAAAACCCUUGUUCCAAAGUGUAGGUCUCUCCUUAGGAGUCAUGGAAAUGUUUCUCUAUAACAAUGUUCCCUCAAGGUUGAAGGAGUCCAUAGAAUCCAAAUCUACGGUAUCUUUUUCUUAGAGAAAUUUAUGUUUUUGAACCUACACCGGAGAAGACGUUGCUUCAACUGCCCUAGAUUUUUUAAUCUAGAUUGGAGAAGUUGUUGCUUCAACUGUCCCAGGUUUGACAAGUUUAUAUUCCUAUCUUCGGAUGCCUUCUUUUACCCCGGAGAAUCAUAUUGGCAUGAUCACUUUUAGGAUCGAUUGACCACUUAGUGCCUCUUUGAUCCUUUUUCCUAGCGUUAGUGACUUUUUUCUCAACAAUGGUCAUUGGAGCCCUCAUUCAUGCAAGAAAAAAGAAAGAAAGACGAGAAUAAAUAAUAACAUCAAGACACGAUGCUCAAUUGCACCUAAAACUUACUUAUGUGAUUAUCAAUCUCAACAUCACCAUCAUCACUCUCGUCGUACUCCACCAUUUCCCUUAUAUUAUAGUGUAUAACAUUUCCAAGAGAUCGAAAAUCUCUCUUUUCGUCUCCCCUCAAAAAAUCGUGAUAUAAGUCAUUUAUUGGUGUCGGUUUAUUUGUCCUGUAGAAUGGAAACUGGUGUUCACCAGUCUCCUCAAACAUCAUCAUAGAGCAAUUGUCUCUCUCCCUCACUAUCAUUAAUCUGUCUUUCCAGUUCUUGUAGUUAGUGGAAUGCAUGGUGAAAAGAAUCACUCCAAAAAGGGAGUCUAUGGUCACCCAGCCAGCCUUACUUAAAGAUGGCACUAAAAAUACCUAUAAAUGAUCUCAAAUACCCUGAUAAAACCCCAAUCAUUCAAGGAUAUCUUAGAGGGUUAAAAGCCAUGGUCUUAUGGACCUCAUAUUCAAACACAGUGAAAUAAAUUAGUACCCCUAGGUCAUAAAUGACCGGAGGUACAUAUAAAAAAACUCUCCAUCUGAAUCAAAAGACACCUCCAUGUUAGGCCUCUCAUCUUCAAUACAGGGCUAUAAUAUCACAUCUCCCUCAUUACUCACACUGGAUAAAUUUAUAUUUUUACCAAAGAAGGUCAUCGUAUUCUUAAUCUUAUAGAGGAUUUCAAAAUCUUCAACACUCUCAUGUUUUAAACUACUGGCGGCCACUGACAUCAUUGCUCGUCCUGGGGAAAAUAGAGGAAAAUAGGAUCACUAUCAUUAUGACUACUAGAAUCAGAACUUCUAAAAUAGUAACUUCCAAACAUUCCUAAUUCUACAAGUUUGUAAUCAACCUUCCCAUUUGAUUGUUUCAUAUUUUCUACAUAAUGCAUCCACAUUGCUAAAGUUCCUUCAGGGUUAUUAGGUUUUGUUCUGGGUCGGUCAGACCAACCCUGGAUGGGUUUCUGUCGACCAUACCGACCCGGCCAACAAUCGGAUAAAGGUUUCACUUCUUCCAAAAUCUUAUUAAUACGCGGAGAUUAUCAUUCUAAUGACCAUCAAAAAUCUCAACUAUAAAACAUGCAACAACUCUACAUAAUUUGCUCAUAACUAAUAGAAAGUUAGUUAUUCCAUCUCUACUAUAUAUAAAGAUGAUGCUAAAAUCAGGUAAUAAGUUUCAAACACAAUUUCAUUUUCACUUUUCUUCUUCAUAUACUGACUUGAGCAUUGAAGUGCUAACUUUAUAGGUCAUCACUCCUCUGUGUUGGAAGACAUAAUCCUCCAUCACCACAAUUCACUUAAGCUUACUCUCACUUCAGCCUCGUAAUGACAAAUAGAUUUUUUUAAAAUUUAUUUGUUUCUUAUUUGACACCUAAUCCAUGAUAUAUUCACAUUUACCUAUUUUAUGGAAACAAUCCUUUUUUUUCGUUUCUUUCUCACUAUAUUAUUAUUAUUAUUAUUAUUAUUAUUAUUAUUAUUAUUAUUAUUAUUAUUAUUAUUAUUAUUAUUAUUAUUAUUAUUAUAUUAAUAAAUGUAUUAAAUAAUUACCCUUGUUAUUAUUAUUAUUAUUAUUAUUAUUAUUAUUAUUAUUAUUUUAUUAUUAUAAAUAACUUUUUUAAAUUUCUAUUAAAAAUAAGUUUUAUAUAUCAUUUUUCAUACUAAUUUAUUAUCAUUUUUAUUUAAUCAUAAUUAAAAUAUUAUUUUUUAAAAUAAUCACAUUAAAACAUUAUAAUACUUAUAAAACUAUUAAAUAAUAUAAUAAUUAAAAUAUCAUUUUAUACAUAAAAUAAAGGAUUAAAUAUGUUUAUGUUCCUCUUAAAUAUCUCAAAUUUCGUUUUUAGUCCCUCAAAAUAUUUCCUUCAAAUAAUGAUCGUCAUAAAAUUUUCUAUCCACACUUUUUGUCUAUUCUGCAACUUAGCAACUGAAUUAGCGACGAUUUUAGUGACGGUUUAUUACUUAGUGACUAAAUUAGCGACAGUUUUGACGACGGUUUUAGUAUUAUAAAUCAAAAGUAUGGAUGAAAAAUUUUAGGAGAAUCAUUCUUUGAAAAAAAUAUUUUUAGGGACUAAAAAUGAAAUUUGAAAUAUUUAGGAGGACCACCCUAAAAUAAAUUAUCGAAUAAAUAACUAAACUUACUAAAAUGAUAAAUAUAUUGUAUAUAAAAAUAUCAUGACGUUACAUUCUUACUCUCUUAAAAUAGUUUCGUCCUCGAAAUAGAAAGUCUAAGAUAUUAAAAUAUAAUUCUCUCAUUAAACAAAAUCCCAUAAAAAUAAAACCAAUUUUUUAUAUUAUGAAAAGUUAAAAUUAUUAUAACAAAUAAAAAAUAGCUAUAAAUAUAAUAGUUUCGUCCUUGAAACUAGAAGCUUGCGACAAAUCAAGAAAACACUUAAAAAAUCUAAAGUGAAAUUAUUCAAUUCCUUUUAUAUAAAUUUACAGUUGAAAACUAUAUUCAAUUUUUUUUAAUUAUGCAAACUAUUGAUUUAAGUUUAUAAGAACGAAUAAAAUUAAUAAAACGACACACUUCCUCUGCAUACUUUGAUUUCAAAUGGAUGUGAUCAUUAAAUCUAUAACUCAAAUAAGCCUUAAAAUAUCUACUAAAAUUAAGAGUUAUCUAAAUUAUUAAAUAAUUUAAAAGGAUAAUAUAUUGUAUGGUGUUAUAAGUUCAUGCUUUCCUUUUUUUCACAAAUCUGAGCAAAUUCAGUUAAGGUAUACUCACCAUCACCAUUUGUUCCCAACCAUUUGAUUGCAUAUUCAACCUGCUUUUCAAUUAGCAAAUUGAACCUCUUAAAACUAGUGUGCACCUCACUUUUCUUCUCUAACAGAUAAAUCUACAUAUAUCUAAUGAAUUUAUCUAUGAAGGUUAGGAAAUAGCAGUUACCUCCUAGUGACUUCACUACAUAGGGACCACAGACAUUUGAGUGCACUAUCUCCAAUUUUUUAUGUGACUUCAUUGCCAAGUCCUUUUUGAAUGACCUUCUAGCUUGCUUGGCAAUAUAACAAUCCUCACAUAGCUGCUUAGGCGUUGUAAUCUUGGGAAAAACAUACACCAUCUUCUUCAUAUGCAUAAGACUGAGACUUCUAAUUUUGAUUUCCAACUAUGUUUGAUGCAAGAAAUUGAUGAUUUAACACGUUGAUUGUGAUCUUCAAAAUUAGAUUAGACCUUUCAGCAAACACCUUGAAAUCUCUUUCUUCUAACCUCAUUUUAUAAUCUUUAUAAAGCAAUUGACCCAAACUGAUCAAGUUGCUUACCAUAGAAGGAACAUAUAAAACAUCAUAAAUGAUUGCUUCUUUUCCAUUCUUUUUCUUCACACAAAUGUUUCACAUUCCUUUUGAUGUAACAAUGUUAUUAUCAGUAAAUCUAAUGGAUCUCCUCACUGGUUCAUCAAGUUUGAUAAACCAACUUUUGUUUCCUGUCAAAUGAUUGGUGUAACUUAUAUCAAGUUAUCACACAUUUUCUUUCUCUUGAGUCAAAUGUGUUGUAUCCAUCAAAAUGACCUCUUUUGAAUCACUACAACCAGUAUGUGCAAAUUGAAUCACAAAUUUGUCACCUCCAUUGGACUCUUUGUUGCAGCAGCAAUUUGGAGCACGAUGACCAAACUUUUGAAAGCAAUAGCAUUGAACCUCCUUCAUCUCAACCUUCUUUUUGAAUUUUUUAUUUUGAGUUGCACCAUUCUUACUAGUUUCACUCUAACUUCUUGAAACCUUGCCAACAUCAACACCUUCAUUCCAUUUCUUCUUCCCUUUUUCUUUAACUUUUAUGUUAUUUGAGGAAUCGUCUUUCAUUUUCUUGAAGAAUCUGGCAUGCAAAGCUUGUUCAGAUACCUUCUCUGAAUUAUUUGUUUCAGUCUCAACUCAUGCGCUUCAAAAGAUGCUUGCAAUUCUUCAAGCUUUAUCUCUGACAAAUCUUUGGACUCCUCAAUGGCCACAACAAUGUGAUCAAACUUUGCAGGAAGAACUCUUAGAACUUUCUCAACUUUCUGCAGUUCAUAGAUCUUCUCGCUACAUAACAUUUGAUUUGUCAAAACCAUCAACUUUAAGAAGAACUCAGAAAUGGCUUCCCCAUCAUUCAUAUGCAGAUUCUAAUAUUGUUUCAUCAAAGAUUGUAGAUUUACUUUCUUUAAUUUCUCAUCACCGUCAUACAACUUCUUAAGAGUAUCCCACACAUCUUUUUUCGUUUCUUGCUUAACGAUCUUCUCAAAGACAUUUGAAUCCACACAUUGAUGAAUCAAGAAUAAAUGUUUUUCUUGUUAAUUUCACGAUGAACAUUUUUUUGCGCCUCAUUAGCAUUUACCUCUAAUGUUAAGAAACCAUUAUUCACAAUUUCAAGCAUAUCAUGAAAUUUAAAUAUCAAUUUCAUAUGCGCACACCAUCUAUCAUAGUUUUCUCUUUUAAGAACUAGGAAAUUGGUUGAGAACUGAUUUGAGGUUGUACUCCGGUUUGCCAUGGAUGGAGAAGAUUUAACAAUGUUUUAUAUACCAAUUUGUUGGAUAACUUGAGAGAGAGAGAGAGAGAGUUGAAAUAGAAUUAAUGGAAUUAAUUUUUUAUAAAACAUGAGUUACAUCUUUUAUAUAUGAUCAUAGUACUAACUACAUAACUAGCAUUUACCACAUAUUCAACUAUCACACACCAUAUACGGAACUAUCAGUAAUCAUAUGUUGAACUAUCAGUAAUCACAUGUUGAACUCUUAAUAAUCACUUAUUAACUUGUUAAUAAUUGCAUCUUAAACUAUCAAUAACACUUAACCAUAUGUUAAACUAUCAAGAACUAUUUCCUAAAUUAGGAAUAGCCACACUGAAAAUUGAAUUACAAAUCUAAUAAACUUAAUUAUACUUAUAUCUUUAUAAUCAUUUAUCUUUUAGUAUAAGUCCAUUUUAAAAGGAAUAUGAAUCAAACCUUAUAUUAUUUUUGCUCCACACUCAAUUAAUUUGGGAUAGGUUGAAAGAUUUGAAUUUGAACCUCGAUAAAGAAAUAUUAAAUCAAAAAUUAAUUAUUAAUAUUUUCUUAUAAAAUAGUACUUGCCUCCUAUCCGCCUUAUUUUUUUCUUAUUAAUAUUUUCUUAAUAUUUUUUAAUACAUGUUCAAUGGCCUGUAUUUUUUAUUUAUUUUAAGAACAGACAAUAAUAACACUUUCAAUUAUGGAAGUGCUAUGGUAGGAAUAUGACGUGGAAACCGCAAUGGACAAUAUAUUAGCAAUAAAAUGUUACUAUUAGCCAUUAGCUCUUGUCGAUGAAGUAGGGUCCACUUGAAAUAAGCUAAGAACAAAAUUGAAGCUCUUUGCAUUGGAAUGAAAAGGUGAAAAAGUUUUUAAAUUUUCUGCGCACUUAUGGACCGAUAUAUUAGAACAUCUCCGACGUCCGGUUCUGCAAAUUCAAGAACAUAUAAAACCCAUUUUAUAGCAUUUGAGCACAUGUAAUUUUGUGUCACAAUGGAGGACAGUUGCCAUGCUACCACAACCUCAUUUUUUUAAAAAUAUUAAUGUUUAGAAUCACAUUAUCAACUAUGUUCACCUGUCAUUUUUUUCAAACUUUAAUUGGAACGAAUUAAAAUGGGAUUGAAUGUCUUUUGUCACCCAUAACACCAUUGCAUUAUGGGAGAUAAUGUGGAGCGGGUGCCUGUUUGACACCCCCUAACACCAUGGCAUUAUGAGAGAUAUCACAGGUUUGUUUCAGAUUUAAAAAAAUAGAUUUUUUAAAAUUAUUUUAUAAAAUAUUAUAAAAAAAAAUUAUAUUCUUAUUUUUUAAAUUAAAAAAUUAAUUUUGAUAUUAUAUAACAUAAAUAUAUAUUAUAGAAGAUUAAGAUAUAAUCGAAAUUGUAAUUUUUUCAAAAUAUUUUAUUUUAAAAAUGAUUUUUAUAAAAAAAAAAAAACUAUUUUAAGUUAAAUAAUUUUUUAAAAUUUUGAUAUUUGAAAAAGUUUUAAUAAAAUAUAUAAAAUAAUACUUUAAAAAUAACUAUUCAAAUUAAUUUUUUAUUUAAAAUUUUUUAAAAAUAUAUAUAUAUAUAUAUAUAUAAUUUUACACAAAAUUAUAUUAUACUUUAAAAAUAUUUUUUUUUAAAUUAAAACAAACGACUCAUAACGUCAAGUACUAAACUUGGGGAUUUUUUUUAAUAACCACUAAUUUCAAUUUACAUCCCUAAAUAAUUCAUUUUUCAAAAAAACUACCGAAAUAAUCAUCUUUCUUAAUUGAUGCGCCAGUUGAACUGGCGCAUCCAAUUAAGCUAGAGAAUAGGCGCCAAUAGCCUUGGCGCAUGCAUGCAAGACCAAUAUAUGUAGGCGUCACAUGCAUUGGCACAUGCAUGUGUGUAUGUGCCAUAUACAUUGGCGCAUGCUUUGUUUUGUUACUUCUAUAAAUAUCACCCUCGCAUCUGCCAUAUUAUUUCACAGAACUUCUUACCCUCUUCCAUUCUCCUUUAAUUUCUUCAAUCACUUCCAUUUUCCUUCAAUUUCUUCAAUCAUCUUCAAUUUUGUUUUAUUUAAUCGUGUCUGAAUACAUUCACAAGAGAAGGCUUAUAAUCCUCUUUUGCAACAACUAAAAAACUAAUUAUGUAAAUAUUGGAUAGGCUUAUGACUUUGUAAACGUCAGAUAGUAAGUAUGAUGGAUCCCUUCGAACCUUUAAACAUGUCGCAAUGACAUGGGAGCAAGGCAUACGAAAGAUUUGGAACUUUCCGCAGUCGCACCAACCUUUAUCUAGUUCCACUCUGUAUUGUCCCAUUGACAUGCCUUCAUUAUGAUCCACAGACUCAACAACACUGUACCAACCUUUAGUACGGUCAAACACCGUGAUCACGUGUGUUUUAGCUUUGAUAGGUUCUUGUCUAAUGAAUUUCAUUGAAGCAUCACUGAACAACUGCCCAGAUUGAAACACUGAACUCCAUUUGCAACGUUUGGUCUCAAACAACGCCCCUAUCCAGAAAUAUGUUGUCUGCACUAAAGCGGUUAUAGGUAGGUUUCAGAUGCCUUUGAAGACAGAGUUCAUUGAUUCCACAAGAUUUGUUGUCAUGUGUCCCCAACGUUGAUUGUUGUCGUAUGCCAUAGUCCACUUCUCCAAUGGAAUACUGUCGAUUCACCAUAUUACAUCUGCGUUUGACAAUUUGAUGUCUUCGCGGUAGUGUUUGAAAGAAGAUUCUGUUAAUGCGUAACCUGCAUUGACAACCUUCUUCCGCAACAUUUUGCCUUUGAUCUCCCGUAUAAAAUUUUGAGUGAUAUGUCUAAUGCAGAAGACAUGCAUUGACGGAGGAUCUUGUCAGCCAUUAUCAAUGUUUUUGUAUGCACUCACUAUUGAAGGGUGUCGGUCAGAAAUCAAACAUAAGUUAGGUUGAGGAGAAACAUGCAAUCGGAGAUUUCUUAAGAAAAAACUUCAUCCCUCAGUAGUCUCCCCUUCAACUAGGGCAAAAGCGGUUGGAAAAAUGCUAUUGUUGUCAUCUUGUGUCAUUGCCAUCAGUAGUGUUCCUUUAUAUUUCCCGUACAAUCAUGUACUAUCAAUUUGUAUAAUAGGUUUACAAAAAGCAAAACAUUUGAUGCAUGGUUGAUACGCCCAAAAGAGAUGUUGGAAUAUUCGAUUUCCAGUAGCACAAGUCAUGUCUGGGGAAUAUGCCGACAACGUUUCCAACUUGACAAUAGUCCCUGGAGCAUAUUGUUUGAGAGCCACCAAGUAUUUUGGAAGUUGUUUGUAAGACUCAUCCCAAUUGCCAUACACUUUUUCAACCCCCUUUGUCCUAGCUAUCCAAGCAUUCAUCUAUGAUGGAGUAUAGUUGUAUUGUGCUCCAAUAUGCGUGAUUAUUGUACUCGCCUUUAACGACGAAUUAUCGCUAAUGGCAGACAAAAUUGUAUCGCAUAUUAAUUAAGAGCUAAGUUUAUUAUAGUCUUGCAUUGGAUUCAUGAGCAUGAAUGUGUGAAUUGGAACCAUGGAUCCAAUCUCCCAAGAAUCACUCAUCUUCCGGUAUGAAGCUGACAACCUAAAAAGACAGCGCUCAUUUCGACAAUAAAUCUUGUACCUCAUUGCAUUCGUUUGAUCAACUCUGUAAUCAAUGGAUAGAUUCAUGUGAUACUUUUUAAUAUCUUUUACACAAUCUUCUUUUGUGCGAAAUGUGUUUCCUUCUUUCAAUGAUCCUUGAAUUUUUACAUGAGGAUUGUAAAAUAUAUCUGAUGAAGGUUCACCGACAUCCAAAUUCAAGCUUGUCAUGUGUUGAGGUGGACAAUAUACAUGACUAGCUGGUAAUGGCUCAUCUUCUUCAUCGUUCACCAUUGAAUCAAACCCUACCCACCAACAAUCAUACGCAGUGACCACAAUAGUCUAUAGCUCAGAUGGUUCAUACAAUUCACGCCAUCGUAGCCCCCCACCAAUGACCACCCAAAUAUCUCAUCGCCACAACACCCAGCCAUUGUUUGACUUUAGUACACCCCAUGAACCAUUGAUUCGUUUCCAAACCAAUUCAAUGUCCCAAUUCGGACAAUCAUACCAUCCACAAUUCACCCAGCCACAAUGACUGAACUAUGAGAACAUAGGCGCCGAACUCAAUUACGGAAGCGUUGUUGACGAGAACCCCUCAACUAUUUGGAACAAAUGAUGACACAUCUAUCAAAUACCGUUGAACCUUCCACCGGACCUUCACACCAGCCACCAUUGGAUCAUGUCAGUACUCAAAGACCCAAACCACCUCAGGAAAAUCGUGGGAGACCUCGAAGACAGACUAACGCACAUGGAUGUGGAACAGGAGGGCGUUUCAAUCGGGUGGUCAUUGAAUUUCUUGUUAAUUCUGUGUAAUUUUUUAUUAUAUUAUAAAUAUAAUUUUUAUUUUCAAUAUUUUUUAUUUAUUUGUAAAUUUUAAUUUUAAUUUUUAAAAAAAAAUAUUAAGGUACAAAUGACACAUGCAUUGGCGCAGACACCAAGACAUGCAAGCGUCAAUGCAUGUGGCGCCUACAUGCAUUGGUUUUGCAUGCAUGCGUCUAAGACCUCGGCGCCUCCUAUGCAUUUGAAUUGGAUAUGACAGGUCAACUAAUGUAUCAGUUAAAAAUAAUAAUUAUUUUGAUAUUUUUUUCAAAAAAAAAUAAUUAUUUUGGAAUUAAACUUGAUAAUAAUGAUUAUUUAAAAUAAAUAAAAAAAUCAAACUUUGGAGUUAAAAUCUAGUAUAUGGGUCCACCUUAGAUUCUUUUUCUUUUUAACAUGGAAUAUAAAAGCUGCAAAUGUUCUUAAAGUUGAGUUGGCGUAAUAUGUCCCACAAAAAUUAAUUUAAGAACACCAUUUGUGUAGCACCUAGGAAUAUUAUCCACAAUACCACAUAUUGUGAAAACCAUUGAACAAAGACUGAACACCGGUGUUUUAAAAUCGAUUAAUUUAAUUUUAAAAGCAACAACGAAUAUAAGUCACUCUGGUGUUUUGAGACUCAAUAUAUUGGGUUUUAAAAGCAACUUAAAACAUUAGUAGUUCAAAUAACGGCAUAUUGGAGUAUGACAAAAGCAUUUUUGAACGCAUCUUUGAACGAGAGUUUAUGUGUUUAUCGCAUCAUACGAAUUUCUAAAAAUAUUUAAUAUUUUUGAAGAUUCAUCUUUGAAAAUAUCCCAACACACACUCAAGUAAAAUCAUUGAGAAUGACGUUAUAUUAUUUGGUUCAUUUUAUUUUGAAAAUGCAUUUUUAAAAAUAUCUCGUAACUACAUUUUUGUAAGCCGAUACAUCAAUACCAGACUCAAAAACAAAGAAUUUUUUCAAAUAAAGAUUCAUAAAAUAAAAUUAGGGUUACAUAUAUGAGUUCAACAUAAAAUACAAUAUUAUACUUCAAUAUUUAGGUGGACGCUUCAACAUCUUCAAAAUAUCUUUGACCAAUCUUAAAAUUGUCGUUGCAACGAAAAUUUUAUUUCGAAACGGAAAAACAUAUUCUACAUAACUCUCACAUCCGCUUGCGUGUUGAGUUCAAAUUUGCUAAACUUAAUCUUCCUCUGUUGUCAAUCGACGGUAAACGGUAGUCGAUCUUUUUAAUCUUUUGAUUAACUCCAUAAGAUAGGAGAUAAUGAAUUUUGUCUUUGAUACCAUCGAGGGAGAUGAAGUCAUUGAGUUUGAAUGUCCGUUGCGCUAGAGAAUGAGACAUUUGCGAGAUAUCAGUCAAUAUUUAGUGGCGACAUACCAGUCAAUAUUUAGUGGUGACAUAAUAGUCAAUGUUUAGUGACGGCAUUUGAGGCAUUUUCAAUUUGUAUAAAAUAUAACCUAAGAGUAUCUUAAUUUAUAGAAGUCAUAGAUCAAUAUGAAUCACUCAACGACUGACAUAUUGAUUCCAAAGAUAUAUAUCCAGAACCACAUCCUAUUUUCUUGAUCCGUCUCCGGAACUUCUCCUAAACCAGUUUCAAGACAGAACCUAUAACAGAUCCUAUGGAUCCUCAUCAUAAAAUCACCUCAAAAAACACAAGUAUUUCUUAAAAUAUUCUAGAGAUAUAUCUCCAGAAUAAAAAUAACUCAACUUAUCGAACACCUCCCAGAAUAAACUUUUAUUGAGUAUGUAAGAAGUACGUCCAAAGAUGUAUCUCCGAAAAUAUGACAUUUUUUAAAAUUUGUGGAAUACGAUAGAAACAUAUAAGAUGUGUAAAGAAGUCUCGUACGAAUAAGAAAAGUUCUCUGGAAUCCACUGUUGUACAGCUUUCAGGGGUCUGCAUUUCUUAACGCCAAAAAGAAGCCCAACACAAUCAAAGUGACAACAGAUACACACCUCCUAUAAUCACUUCUCAUAGGAUUUCCAAAAACAAACCAAGCGGAUAAGGAACUGAGGAACACUCAAUGCUUAACGGCUAAAUUUCUCCAGAAAAGAGAUUCAGAUUGUAGGAGCUUAAAGUAAACACAUUCCAACAUGCAAAAGAUAACUCCAGUUACAACUCUAACCUGUUUCUAGAUUCUAUAUUAGUUUGGUUUCGAUGGAUUUGACAUAUUACAUGGUAUUAAGGUGGAUUUGCCUUAAUGGCAGUGAUUUACCAUGAUUCUGGCAAGAUAUUGUGCACCAAUUAACCAAACAUUCUGGCAAGAUAUUGUGCACCAAUUAACCAAACAUUCUGGCAAGAUAUUAUGCACCAAUUAACCAAACAUGAAUCCUGUGAACUAAUAAUAUAAGCAGGACAAAAAAUUGCAUCACCCAUUCACAAGAAAAUCAAUUAAUUUUAUAACCGUUAUAUUAAGAUUAAAGGCGAGGGGUUAUCGCGUUUAAUCUACCAGACGUGUCCUACAGCAUUGUGGCACGGGGUUAUCGCUGCCACAACAGAUUAGCCAUAGGAAAAAAUUCCGAGUCAGGAGACGGAGGGAAAGGGCAUGAGAUGAUCCAAAUCCGCCACAACCUACAAUCAACCCUUAACUUAAUACAACCAAUGCAUCACGAAACCAAUGAUCACAAUAAGCUAAACCAACAACUCAAACGCACUUAUUAUCCGAGCACAGAACAAAUUAUUUGAACACAGAAAAACAUAUUAUAACAGACACGGAUCUAUUAUCAUAACAGACACAGAACAAUAUAUCAUAACACAGAACAUAAAGUAAGUAGUAGCACGAUCAUAUUAACUGCCAUCAAGGGAACAAUAUGUUACAUAUUCAAGGCUUAAGAAGGGCCAAAUUAAUAAUAACAGCACAACUCAAUCCGAUUCCCAUCAAAAACCUUUCAUCGCAACAGUUCAAACACAACAUUCAUACCUAAAAUUCAUCAUCUUGAUAUUUAAAAAAA
rnacentral:lncRNA from 1 species